AUGAUAUUUCAUUCAGUCAUUUUGCUUUCUGCCUUGAUAUGUGUGAGUUUUGGAGAUGAAAUCACAGCAGACAGCACUGAGGAAUCUGCUGCAGUGGGUUCAACUGUAACUUUAUCCUGCAGUUAUUCCUCUGCACAAUCACUUCAAUGGUACCGUCAGUAUCCCGGAUCAGCUCCUCAAUUUCUUGUGCUUAUAAUAGAGAGUGUGAAAGACACUAAGACAUCUGAUGUAGAUCCCAGAUUCUUCACUAAGCUCAGAAAAGAAAAACAAAAUACAAAAGAAAUCAAACAUGUGGAUCUGAUCAUCUCCUCUGCUGCUGUAUCAGACUCUGCUCUGUACUACUGUGCUCUGAGGUCCACAGUGACAGGAAACACAAGAACACUGUAUAAAAACCUGACACAGAUGAAGGUGUACAACCAAUUUCUUUCCAUAAUAUAG